UACGGAGGGUGCUAGCGUUGUUCGGAAUGACUGGGCGUAAAGGGCGCGUAGGCGGCUUGGCAAGUCGGGUGUGAAAGCCCGGGGCUCAACCCCGGAACGGCAUCCGAGACUGCUUGGCUCGAGACCGGGAGAGGAGGGUGGAAUACCCAGUGUAGAGGUGAAAUUCGUAGAUAUUGGGUGGAACACCAGUGGCGAAAGCGGCUCUCUGGCCCGGAUCUGACGCUGAGGCGCGAAAGCGUGGGGAGCAAAC
rnacentral:rRNA from 1 species